CUGGGUGCCUUUUCCUUCCUUUGCUUGCUUGCUUUCGUGCGCUUGGUAGGGCUUUAGAACCGUUUCCUUGUUCUUGAUUUUCGGGGGAGCAUCCAGCCUGUCACAGUGUGUCUGCUGGAGGGUUUUCCUCAGAUGCCCGUUGCCAUGAUGGGGAAGUUUUUAAGUUUCUAUUGACAGAUAUGAAAGUUUGUCAGGUGCUUUUUUGGAUCGGUUGGUGUGGCCGUGUUUUUCUCUUCUUUAGACUGUCACUGUGGUAGGUGACGUCAUUGAUCUUUUCAUACUGAACCAGCUUUGCAUUCCUGGACUAGACCCCACUUGGUCAGGGUGUGUGUGUGUGUGUGUGUGAGAGAGACCCCACUUGGUCAGGGUGUGUGUGUGUGUGUGAGACCCCACUUGGUCAGGGUGUGUGUGUGUGUGUGUGUGAGAGAGACCCCACUUGGUCAGGGGGGUGUGUGUGUGUGUGUGUGUGACCCCAUUUGGUCAGGGUGUAUGACCCCACUUGGUCAGGGGUGUGUGUGUGUGUGUGUGUAUGUAUGUAUGUAUGUAUGUGUAUGACCCCACUUGGUCAGGGGGUGUGUGUGUGUGUGUGAGAGAGACCCCACUUGGUCAGGGGGGUGUGUGUGUGUGUGUGGGUGUGUGUGUGUGUGUGAGAGAGACCCCACUUGGUCAGGGGUGUGUGUGUGUGUGUGUGUGUGUGUGUGUGUGUGUGUGUGUGUGUGAGAGAGACGUUCCCGGGCCGGGGCUGGAACCUGUGCCUUAGCAGCCCCUUGGGCCGUUGCGGUGGCCCUGCUGGCCCCUUGGCCCUGCCCCAGAGGAGGGCGCACCUUACCCGCGUUUUGUUGAGCGUUGCUGUGUCUGUUUUAUAAGGACAUGUCCAUCGUUCUUGUUUUAUGACAUCCUUGCCUGGCUUUUCCUUGAUGACACCUUUGCUUGUUCUUCUUGCUGUACCUUGUCAGCCAGACUCUGGCCAAAUGGACAGGCUCUUGUCUUUCUUGCUCUCAGCUGGCUUCCGUCCGCUUUGGCGUCCCAGCGCCUUUGUCUGGCACUGGGGCAGCCACGUUGUUCUGCUUGUGUGGUGGGGCCUGCACGGCGUGGACGGGCCACGUCCUUCUCACCUCUGUGCCUUUGUUGGGCUGUUUCUGCGUAGCGUUUCUCUUCCUUCUUUGCCCAGUGACCGCUGCGUCUUCCCAGGAGGGGUCGCGUGCUGUCUCUGUGGGAAGCAUUGCCAUCACCAUGCUAGGCCUGGCUGUUGCUGCCCGUCUGGGUUCCCCUGGAGCCUGUCCUCAGCUGGGCCAGAGACGUUAGACUGGGUUGCAGUCAUUGCUUUAUCGGAACGUUUUCUUCCUUUUUCUUUUUGUUCAUUUACUUAUUUUUUAGAUACUGUUUCAUUAUUUAUUUUACUGCCCUUGCUUAUGGGCCUUCCGGGCUCUCUGCCGUCCACGUGUGGCACUGUCGUGGUGUCUCCUUCCCUCCGGCUUUGGUGAACGUGCUCACCCCCUUGCCUGCAGCACUCACCUUGAUGCAGGAGAGUCUGUGUCCACUUCUUCCUCUCAAGCUCAGACCUGACACUUGGCGUCUUUCCCAUGUGGUGUUAGAGAGUUCCCAUCACAGCUGGGAACUCAAAUGGUUGAUCAGUGAGUCUGACGUUGUGGCUGUUCUCACUAGAAUGACCAUUGCGGCAGGUGAGCUCAGCUUGUCUUGUCCCUGUUGAAAGUAAACUCUUCUUUCCAAACUACAAAAUAGUUCUUGGGUUUACUGGUUGGUUUGCUGGAAAACUUAUCAAAAGAAGCUUUUGUCUAAAGCUCUCAGGCCAGCUGUAUGUGUUUGUACGCUGGACACAUCCGUCAGGUAAGAAGAUUGGCUAGGGAGUUCCCUGGUGGCCUAGCCAGUCGAGCAUCCUGUAUUGUCACAGGUUUGAUCCCUGGCCCAGGAACUUCUGUAUCUGCAGGGGUGUCCCCCCCCCAAAAAAGAUUGUGCUGGAUAAUCUCAAAGGUCUUUUACAACUUGUGAUUCUUGGAUCGUCAGUCCCUUGGUCACGCCCUUUCGGGGACCUCCGAUUGCCCGCUGCAGGGUCUGUAAUGUGUGCAGUGCGUUAGCGGCGCACUUGGAGCAGCUCAGACGCGCCCAGCACCGCAGGAGAACAUGUUUGUUCUCGAGUCCUCCAGGAAGACUCUCUGCUGUACGGGUGUGGAGUGUGUGGAUGGGGACGGACGCCCUCACUUGAUCUGGUUUCAGAGCCUGGAGUCUUGCGUGAUUCCUGAGGUAUCUGGCAUCAGAAUCCGUGUGUUUACUCAGAGUCUUGAAGCCUAUGGCAGUCAGCGGGGGCUGGUUAAGUACGUGACUUCUGCUGUUUGAUUUAAUGAGGUAGAGUCUUAAAAGAAACCCUGGAUUGAAGAUAAGGCCCGUAAUGAAAGCAUAUGAGACAGCAAGGAAAUUGAUGGUAGCGCCGCUACUGUCUCCUGCAUAAGCUUUUUAUUGACCACACAGUGAGCUUAAGAAAGUGAGCUAAGUUGGGAGUUCCCGUCGUGGCGCAGUGGUUAACGAAUCUGACUAGGAACCAUGAGGUUGCGGGUUCGGUCCCUGCCCUUGCUCAGUGGGUUAAGGAUCCGGCGUUGCCAUGAGCUGUGGUGUGGGUUGCAGACGCAGCUCGGAUCCCGCAUGACUGUGGCUGUGGUGGAGGCCAGCGGCUACAGCUCCAAUUAAACACUUAGCCUGGGAACCUGCAUAUGCCGCAGGAGCGGCUCAAGAAAUGGCAAAAAGACAAAGUGAGCUAAGUAGACUCUUAGCUGACUCUUUGAAAUGUGCAGUUAUAUCCACUUUUAUUAUUAGCUAGCCAUGUCUGGCGUUCCUGUCGUGGCUCAGUGGAAAGGAACCUGACUAGGAUCCAUGAGGACGUGGGUUCUGAUCCCUGGCCCUGCUCAGUGG
rnacentral:lncRNA from 1 species